GGACGAACGCUGGCGGCGUGCUUACCCCAUGCAAGUCGAACGGAAAGGCCCUGCUUUUGUGGGGUGCUCGAGUGGCGAACGGGUGAGUAACACGUGAGUAACCUGCCCUUGACUUUGGGAUAACUUCAGGAAACUGGGGCUAAUACCGGAUAGGAGCUCCUGCUGCAUGGUGGGGGUUGGAAAGUUUCGGCGGUUGGGGAUGGACUCGCGGCUUAUCAGCUUGUUGGUGGGGUAGUGGCUUACCAAGGCUUUGACGGGUAGCCGGCCUGAGAGGGUGACCGGCCACAUUGGGACUGAGAUACGGCCCAGACUCCUACGGGAGGCAGCAGUGGGGAAUAUUGCACAAUGGGCGGAAGCCUGAUGCAGCAACGCCGCGUGCGGGAUGACGGCCUUCGGGUUGUAAACCGCUUUCGCCUGUGACGAAGCGUGAGUGACGGUAAUGGGGAAAGAAGCACCGGCUAACUACGU
rnacentral:rRNA from 1 species